GUCUCCCUGGACUAAGAAGUGUCGUAUUACACUGUAAACAACAGCUGCUUCUCUGCUGUUGCAAGUGUCCAUCCCUGUAUCAGUGGUACCCAUUUGCACCUGCUUGAUUUAGCUGUGCACGGGAUUUUAAACGGGUCUCUCAGGGAC
rfam:Triticum aestivum genome assembly, contig: Triticum_aestivum_CS42_TGACv1_scaffold_095125_2AL